rnacentral:rRNA from 1 species
UACGUAGGGUGCGAGCGUUGUCCGGAAUUAUUGGGCGUAAAGGGCUCGUAGGCGGUUUGUCGCGUCGGGAGUGAAAUCCACUGGCUUAACUGGUGGCUUGCUUUCGAUACGGGCAGACUGGAGGUAUGCAGGGGAGAACGGAAUUCCUGGUGUAGCGGUGAAAUGCGCAGAUAUCAGGAGGAACACCGAUGGCGAAGGCAGGUCUCUGGGCCACUACUGACGCUGAGAAGCGAAAGCAUGGGGAGCAAACAGG